rnacentral:rRNA from 1 species
CCUACGGGAGGCAGCAGUGAGGAAUAUUGGUCAAUGGCCGGAAGGCUGAACCAGCCAUGCCGCGUGAAGGUCAGUGCCCUAUGGGCGUUAAACUUCUUUUGUGCGGGAGCAAUAAUGGUCACGUGUGGCCAGACGAGAGUACCGUACGAAUAAGCAUCGGCUAACUCCGUGCCAGCAGCCGCGGUAAUACGGGGGAUGCAAGCGUUAUCCGGAUUUAUUGGGUUUAAAGGGUGCGUAGGCUGUGAGGUAAGUCAGCGGUGAAAUGCCCCCGCUCAACGGGGUGAAGUGCCAUUGAUUCUGCCUGGCUGGAAUGCGGAUGCCGUGGGAGGAAUGUGUGGUGUAGCGGUGAAAUGCAUAGAUAUCACACAGAACACCGAUUGCGAAGGCAUCUCACGAAUCCGCGAUUGACGCUGAUGCACGAAAGCGUGGGUAUCAAACAGGAUUAGAUACCCGAGUAGUC